rnacentral:rRNA from 1 species
UACGAAGGGGGCUAGCGUUGCUCGGAAUCACUGGGCGUAAAGCGCACGUAGGCGGAUUGCUAAGUCAGGGGUGAAAUCCUGGAGCUUAACUCCAGAACUGCCUUUGAUACUGAUGAGCUUGAGUCCGGGAGAGGUGAGUGGAACUGCGAGUGUAGAGGUGAAAUUCGUAGAUAUUCGCAAGAACACCAGUGGCGAAGGCGGCUCACUGGCCCGGUACUGACGCUGAGGUGCGAAAGCGUGGGGAGCAAACAGG